AGAGUGAACGCUGGCGGUAGGCCUAACACAUGCAAGUCGAACGGCAGCACAGUAGGAGCUUGCUCUUACGGGUGGCGAGUGGCGGACGGGUGAGGAAUACAUCGGAAUCUACCUUUUGGUGGGGGAUAACGUAGGGAAACUUACGCUAAUACCGCAUACGCCCUUCGGGGGAAAGCCGGGGAUCGCAAGACCUGGCGCGGAUAGAUGAGCCGAUGUCGGAUUAGCUAGUUGGUGAGGUAAUGGCUCACCAAGGCGACGAUCCGUAGCUGGUCUGAGAGGAUGAUCAGCCACACUGGAACUGAGACACGGUCCAGACUCCUACGGGAGGCAGCAGUGGGGAAUAUUGGACAAUGGGCGCAAGCCUGAUCCAGCCAUACCGCGUGGGUGAAGAAGGCCUUCGGUUGUAAAGCCUUUGUUGGAAGAAAGUAUCGGUUAAUACCCGGUGUUCUGAGGUACCCAAAGAAUAAGACAACCGGCUAAACUCGUAGCCAGCAGCCGCGGUAAU
rnacentral:rRNA from 1 species